rnacentral:misc_RNA from 1 species
AGCAGCCGCGGUAAUUCCAGCUCCAAUAGCGUAUAUUAAAGUUGCUGCAGUUAAAAAGCUCGUAGUUGAAUUUCGGGACUAAUAUGUCGGUCGUGCCUCGGUACGUACUGGUUUAUUGGUUUCUCCUUUCUGAAGAACCAUGAUGUCAUUUAUUUGGUGUCGUGGGGAAUCAGGACUGUUACUUUGAAAAAAUUAGAGUGUUUAAAGCAGGCUCACGCUUGAAUACAUUAGCAUGGAAUAAUGAAAUAGGACGUUUGAUUCUAUUUUGUUGGUUUCUAGGAUCGACGUAAUGAUUAAUAGGGAUAGUUGGGGGCAUUAGUAUUCAAUUGUCAGAGGUGAAAUUCUUGGAUUUAUUGAAGACUAACUACUGCGAAAGCAUUUGCCAAGGAUGUUUUCAUUAAUCAAGAACGAAAGUCAGGGGAUCGAAGACGAUCAGAUACCGUCGUAGUCUUAACCAUAAACUAUGCCGACUAGGGAUCGGAUGAUGUUAAUUUUUUAAUGACUCAUUCGGCGCCUUACG